AUUUUUUUAAAUUUUGUUUAUAUAUUUAUUUAUUUAUUUUGAGAUGAAGUCUCAUUCUGUUGCCUAGGCUGGAGUACAGUGGCACAAUCUUGGCUCACUGCAACCUCUGCCUCCCAGGUUCAAGCAAUUCUCUCAGCCUCCCAAGUAGCUGGGAUUAUAGGCAUAUGCCACCAUGCCAGGCUAAUUUUUGUAUUUUUUGUAGACACAGGGUUUUGCCAUGUUGGCCAGGCUGGUCUCAAACUCCUGACCAGCCCUCCUUGACCUUCCAAAGUGCUGGGAUUAUAGGCGUGAGCCAUUGCACCUGGCCCAGUUCCCUGGGAUACAUGUGUUUUAAUUCAUUUUCUGUUGCUAGUAACAGAAUACCUGAAACUGGGUAAUUUAUAAGGAAAAGAAAUUUAUUUCUUACAGUGAUGGAGGUUGAGAAGUCCAACUUCAAGGCACCACAUCUGGUGAGAGCCUUCAUUCCGAUGACAGCCUUCAUGCUGGUAAGAUUUUCUUCAGAGUUCCAAGGUGGUGCACGGCAUCACAUGGCGAAGGAAAUGAGCGUGCUAGCUCAGGUGUCUCUUCCUCUUCUUAUAAAGCCACCAGUCCCACUCCUGUGCUAGUAACUCUUUAAUCCAUCAACCCAUUAAUCCAUGAAUAGAUUAACCCAUGAGGCCUCUGCCCUCAGGACCCAAUCACCUCUUAAAGGCCUGACCUGUCAAUAUUGCCAUACUGGGGACUCAGUUUCAACAUGAGUUUUGAAAGGGACAAACAUUCAAUCCAUAGUAACAUGAGAGCUUUUCAAAGCCCUUCUUUGUUGAAGUAUGUCCUUCUCCAGCCUCUUUUUUCCCAGGCUUUUUGUUUUUUCUAUUGCUUGUGCAGCUGUUAUCCUUUGCUACAGGUGGCAAUAGCUAAUACAUUUGCCUUUAAAUUUGUUUGACAAACACCACCCUGGAAGUAGCCUCAACUCUGGGGAAGCUCCAAGACAGGUAAAAUACAGCAACCUGCAGCAGGAAAAUGGGCUUCAGUUUUCAAGUCUGCAGCUGAGUUGGGAAGUUGCGGACAGUAACCAGGUAAGUUAAAAUUCACAAAGCUCUGUUACUGACACUCAGCUUUUUUUUUUUUUAUCAUUAAGCUUUCCCCUGGUUGUUGUAACUUUUUUAUUGGAUUCUAAAGUUCUGAAAAAGUUCAUUGUGAUAAUUUUUGCAAGCUUUUCAUUGCUUUUGUGGAGACAUAAUGUUUUGGAGCUCUCUACUCUGCGAUUUUCACUGAUAUCUGUCCAAAGGAGAGAGUGGGAGAGAUGGAUCUUAUAUCACUCCAUAAAAGUGCAGCCUCUAGGCCAGAUCCCAUUAGAUUUGGCUGGGAGUCUAGGAUAAUUAAACAUUCACAUACUCUGUAACCCAGAAAUUUCACUAAUAUAUAUCCUACAACAACUUUUGCACAUGUGCAUAAAAGAAAUUCAUAAAGGCAUUCAUAGCAAGAUUGAAACUUUGUAUUCUACCUUCUUUUCUGAAAGCAUUGGAUACAAAGGUCUACGUCUCUGGCCCACUGCUGAAGUCACCUAGAAUUUUAAUUAUAUGGAUAAUUAUUUGGCAGAGUGCUUAAGGAGAAAUAAAAAAGGGUUUCAAAAAACUACUGAUUUUUUUUUUUAAGAGAAAUCUUGCUCUGUCACCCAGGCUAGAGUGCAGUGGCACGAUCUUGGCUCACUGCAACCUCCACUUUCCGGGUUCAAGUGAUUUUCCUGCCUCAGCCUCCUGAGUAGCUGGGAUUACAGGUGUCUGCCACCACGCCUGGCUAAUUUUUGUAUCUUUAGUAGAGACGGGGUUUCACCAUGUUGGCCAGGCUAGUCUUGAACUCCUGACCUCAAGUGAUCCUCCCACCUUGGCCUCCCAAAGGCGAGAGCCACCGCACCUGGCCUCAUUCCUUUUUUAUUCUGGGUAAUUUUAACAUAUCAUCUGACUGACAAGCUACUGCUAAUAAAAUAUAAACUGAAAAUAGAUUUUUUUCUUCCUUGUCUAGACUAUUUAAUUUUGUUCUUCUUUGCUAUUGUCUAGUUCUAGAAAAAGCGCUUAGUGUGAAAUUUGUGGGAAAGAUGCUGUUCAGAGUUUAAUUUCAUUAUGUAGUUAACCAAUGAAAAUCCAGCGGAAAAAAAAGGUAAACAUUUUUAGGAGAUGGUAAAAACUAUUUAAAAAAUGGAAAGUUCAUAGACAUAAUUUUUCUGAAAUAGAACAUUCAGUCAAUAGAGUUGAAAACUGAAUAAAUGAAUACAUGAUUGAAUGGUUGAUUCAAAUGCAUCAUUAAUUAAUUGGAAAUAAUUGACUGUGUCACUUGGUCCUAAAAAUAUUCCUCUAAGAAAUCAUUAGCAUUAUCUGGAAAACUUUAAAAAGUGAUACCCAAAGCCCAGUUUAAUUGAAUCAGAAUCUCUGGAGGAAGGGCUUAGCCAUUAUUAUUAUUAUUUUUUUUUUUUCUGAGAUGGAGUUUCACUCUUGUUGCCCAGGCUUGAGUGCAAUGGUGCGAUCUCAGUUCACUGCAACCUCCACCUCCCAGGUUUAAGUGAUUCUUCUGCCUCAGCCUCCCGAGUAGCUGGGGUUACAGGCGCAUGCCACCGUACCUGGCUAAUUUUUGUAUUUGUUGUAGAGAUGAGGUUUCACCAUGUUGUUGCACAGGCUGGUCUCGAACUCCUGAGCUCAAGUGAUCCGCCUGCCUCUGCCUCCCAAAGGGCAGAGAUUACAGGCAUGAGCCACUGCACAUGGCCCUUUUAGACCUCUUUUAAUCUUUGGGUUUCUUCAAAACCAUUUGCUUCCCUUGCAAUUUAUUUUUGGGAUAAACCAGUUGAUACUGUAGGGCUUCCCACAGUUUAGAUUUUGCUGAUUAUAACUUUAUGGUGUUAUUUAACAUGUUCCUUUGUCCCCUCUAUUCCGCAUAGAUUGUUCGUCUGGUAAGGAUAUAAUAAACUUAUUAAAUGUUAGCCCAUUGUGUCAUUCCUCCUUAGUAGGGGUUAAGAAUUAUGCUGCCUUCAGGAAGGGGUCUGCAUGUUGAGGUUGCCCAGGUCUGAGUGCAACUAGGAUAUACAAUGGGAGUUGAGAUCAUCAUUGUGGGGCAGGAUAGUGUAGAAAAUGGCAGGGAAGCUGCUCUUUGCCUCACCUCCUCACAGCCUCUGUUCUUGACAUCUGCCUCUCUCUUAGAGUGGUGUGGAACAUGUCUCUUCUCUGAACUCCCUCUCCUUUAGUCCUGUCACACUGAAGACAUUGCUGGAGGCAUUUCUGCCACCUGGGUGAAUCAAAGAACCAACUAAUUUGUGAGGAUGUGUAGAGGAGGCAUUCCUAACUUUCCACUUAUCUGUUAAGACCCAGUUGAAAUCUUUCAUCUUGGAGCGGGGGACAGUGAUCCUGUUCCCCCGUGCCCACCCCCAUCUGGAAGCACAGCUGAUCACUUUCUCCUUGGUAGAACAGCAUGCCUCACAUAUACCCCUGUUAUGCAUUUUGUUACAUGUCAUUUGAAUUAUGUAUCUCUCUACGUAAUUGUUUCAACUAUAAGAUGCACAAAUUCCUUGAGGUUGAGAACCAGGUCUUCUUUAUUUUUUUAACCCCAGGGCCAUGCACAGGCCCUGGUUGUAUCUGGCACGUUCCUGGCAGGAAGCAGAUGAUGCCUUCAAACUGGGUAAUCAAGGGCAGUUUAACAAUAUUAUAGGCCAUGUGCAUUGCUUACGCCUGUAAUCCCGGCACUUUCGGAGGCUGAGGCAGGAGGAUCACUUGAGCCCAGGAGUUCCAGGCUGCAGUGAGCUGUGAUCAUGCCACUGCACUCCAGCCUGGGUGACAGAGUGAGACCUUGUCUCAAAAAAAAGAAAAACAGAAAACCCCAAAGGUACUAUUACAAAAGUGUAGGCAGGGUUCUGUGAAAGUAACAGGGAAUGGUGUGGUAUACCCAAGUUAAUAACGGAAUGGUGGAGGGGCAAAUGGAGAGAAUGGUCACCAAAACCCAGGGAAAAGCUUUUAGUAGAGGACACAGUCAAUCCGUAGUGACCCAGCAAGGGAGGAAUUGGAAAUAGUGACCUCAACUUCGUUUUUCUCCAUCCUUUGAUCUCCUGCCCAUGUUUUCUAUUGGCUGAAUCUAACCAGAAUGCAGAGGGCAAGAGAGCCCAUUGCUGCGGUCCAUACAGGUCUGCCUCCCUGGUCUGAAGACAGCUAGAUGGGGCAAAUGGAAGUUAUCCAGUAUGGGAUCCCCUCAAGCAUUCACCCUUAUCCUUUUGCCAGGUGAAAUACUUAUGUUCCCAGCAGAGGGCACCCACAAAAUUCCUAUUAACUGCUGUACCAUUGCAUGAUGACUUCAAUUCAGUCAUAGUCUAACCUCGAGUCUAAAAUGGUAGCCAUUGCCAGUGCCCAUCAUUGAAGGUAUGAAGGAGGGGGAGAUUCAAGGAGACUGGAGUGAGGGGGCAAUUAAAAUAAUUACAAUGAAAUGUAACUCUGACUGAGCACAUUUCUGGAACAAGUCAUGGAGGCCACGCUGAUAAUCAUAGCUUCCUUCUUCCACCACCCAUUACCUCCUUCGGGCUGAGUGGGGUUUGUUACUUGGCAGGGUGAUCCAUACCUUCAUCUGUGAUCUGAGUCCUCGGUGAACCUGCCUCUCUGGGUUGCACCACUUUCCACCGACUGCUAGAAUAAGAGAUGCCUCAGUGAAUCUCUUGGAUGAGUCUCUCCUGUCGGGUAGCUGCAAAGGAAUUUCCUUCUAGUCAAUGGAGACAGCCAAUACAGUGACUGCUUUCUCUGCCUUUUGGUUUAGCAGCAUGAGGAGGCUCAGAUGGCUUAGGGUCACACUCAGUUUCAACUUCCAAUUGGAUGUUACUUUGUGUUCCUUGAUGGAAGUAUUUCUUCUAGGUCAGCCACUGAGCCCAAGGUCAAACAAAAAGCAAGAAUUCUUUCCAUGGUGAAUUAGUGUAAUAGUGCGAAGAACCACUCCUGCCUCCACCCCUCGGUUCCCAGGCUGAUGCAAUCUGAUUACGGGGGAGGUGGCAUCCUGGGCUGCUGCUGGUUUGAGGCAGUUACUGCAUCUUAUAGGAAAGCACCCCACCCUGCCAGGCAUUGCCCCUCAGCUGUCACUGUGUCUGUGUCUUCAGCAGGCCAUUCCACCAUCCAAUUAAUCCAUUUAUUUAUUUAUUUAUUUAGAUGGCGUCUCACUCUGUCACCCAGGCUGGAGUGCAGUGGCUCGAUCUUGUUUCACUGCAACCUCUGUCUCCCAGGUUCAAGCGAUUCUUCUGCCUCAGCCUCUCAGGUAGCUGGGACUACAGGUGCAUGCCACCAUGCCUAGCUAAUUUUUGUAUUUUUAGUAGAGAUGGGGUUUCACCAUAUUGGCCAGGCUGGUCUCAAACUCCUGACCUUGUGAUCUGCCCGCCUCGGCCUCCCAAAGUGCUGGGAUUACAGGCAUGAGCCACCGCGCCUGGCCCAAUUAAUCCAUAUUUUUCUAGGGAAUGAAUCGUGAUAAAACCAGUGAAUUCCAUGGUUAUGAGCCCGCUGUCACAUUGCCACCUCUGAAAAGUGUAUCCCUUGCAGGGAGAUGUUUGAGUUUUGACACCAUUUGGGAUAGACAAGACAUUCUUUAAGUCCAUGAACUUUGGUGCUGGCAGACAUACUGGGGACAGGAAAGGCAAAUCCAUACUUGGAGCAAAUAUUUGUCUCUGUGAGGCUAAUUCUGCCUCCUACCUGAUGAAAGGGAUCCAAAGUUAUCUACCUGCAAUCAGAUGUCUUUGCUGGGUCUCUUUAAGGAACGGUGCCAUUUUAGGGUCUUAGUGUUGAUCUGCUGUGGCCGAUUGGACAUUGAGUUCUGGCAGAGGCCAGAUCAGUCUUGGUGAGAGUGUGCUACUGAGCCCAUGCAUAGCGUCCAUCCCUGCCAUAUGUGUGCUUUGUUCAUGGGCCAAUUAAGCAAGUACGUGGGAAGUGAGGGAAAGAGACUGAUAGAUAUCCACAGAUUGGAUCAUCUUGACCACAUGAUUAUUGUUAGAAACAGAAUUGUGGCCCCCAAAUUCAUAUAGUGAAGCCCUAAUUCCCCCAUGUGACUGUAUUUGGAGACAGGAGAUAAUUGAGAUCAUAAGGGUUGAGGCCUAAUCUCAUAGGAUCGCUGUCCUUAUAAGAAGUGGAAGAAACAUCAGAGAGCUCUCCCUCUCCACACACACAGAGGAAAGGCCACAUGGGGACAAGAGAGGGCAACUGUCUACAAAUCUGGAAGAGAGACUUCAGAAGAAACCAGCACUGAUGGCAUCUGAUCUUGGACUUCCAGCCUCUGGAUCUAUCUGCCAGAGCCUGAUCUCAUACACACUGAUGUGGUACAGGAAAUGCCACCUGAAAAUAUGGUACCUUGGCAUUUGAGGAAACAGUAGAAGGAGGUCAUAGAAACUAGAAAGAAUUCCUCCUUGCUCUUUGUCCCCCAAAGGAGCCAUAAAACCUGGGCCGAGUUUCUUCUGAAAAUAAGUUAUAAGAUCCUUAUUCCAGAGGGGUCCUGCCCUGUGCCUGGAGGAAAAGAAUGAAGACACAGAGAUGCCUUGAAGAAUCUGAACAAACAGCCCUUGCUAAGUUCCCCCCAGUUUAUUGACAUUAGAUUAGACCUUUUGUCCUCCAAUUAUACUUCUGUGUUCCUGAAAAUACACAUUUUCCCGUUUUUUCUUUUGUUUGCUUUUUUUGAUCUUCAUUUCUGAAGAUUCCCAUGUCAUGUAAAAUAUAUGUUAAACAAAU
rnacentral:tRNA from 10 species